GGAUUACAGGUGUCCACCACCACGUCUGGCUAAUUAUUUGUAUUUUUAGUAGAGAUGGGGUUUCACCAUGUUGGCCUGGCUGGUCUCAAACUCCUGACCCCAGGUGAUCUACCUGCCUCGGCUUCCCAAAGUGCUAGGAUUACAGAUGUGAGCCACCUUGCCUGGCCUGAUUUUCAGCCUUUCUUACUUAGGAAUACACACAAUUUUCCCUUCUAAGUAUGGCUUUUGCUACUUAGAAAUGAUAAAGCAGUAUUAUCAUUUUUACUAAAUUAAAAACACAUUUUUUUUUUGAGACGAAGUCUUUCUCUGUUGCCCAGGCUGGAGUGCAGUGGCACAAUCUCUGCUCCCUUCAACCUCCGUCUCCCGGGUUCAAGUGAUUCUCCUGCCUCAGCCUCCCGAGUAGUUGGGACUACAGAUUCAUGCCACCACAUCUAGCUAAUUUUUUGUAUAUAUAUUUUUUAAGACGGGGUUUCACCAUGUUGGUCAGGCUGGUCUUGAACUCCCAACCUCAGAUGAUCCACCCGCCUUGGCCUCCAGAGUGCUUGGAUUACAGGCAUGAGCCACCACGCCUAGCCAAUUUUUUGUAUUUUUAGUAGAAAUGGGGUUUCACUGUGUUAGCCAGGAUGGUCUCGAUCUCCUGACCUCAUGAUCUGCCUGAGUCAGUCUCCCAAGGUGCUGGGAUUACAGGGUCCUAAGUCAGCCAAAACCAAAAUGGAACAAACAGAAAAAUCUCAAGGGUAUAUCACUUUCAAGGCCUCGCUGGCAAACAGCGAAAUUGGGACAUCAAAUAGAUUCUGGAGUGAUCUUCAGUGGUUACCCAGGCAACUGCACGUGGUCUCCCAGUUGGACCCUGAUGGAUGCACCCACAUACUCUGUUCACUAAGCUGUGAGUCCAUCUUGUCUCCACAUCUGAAAGUGCUCUCCGGAAGGGACUAACACCUUCUAAGGAUCCCACGCCCUGCCUGAUGCUAAAGUGAUCAAUACUUGUUUGCCAAUUACUUGUCACCAAAUGUUUCUCACUCA